UGCCCUCAGUCCAACGCGAGAGGAUGAAGAAGUAGCGCCGCUCAGAGGGGCGUAUUCCAACCUCUUGUCUUGUGAACACCAUGAUGGCUGAUGCUCCUGCAACUUGCAUCAGUUGCUGAGAUCUGGGCUUCUGUGGCAACAUGGCUACAACAGACGAAUUGUAAACAACUGCCAAGGUCAAGUGUCUGCAGGAACACGAGGAACACCACGUCUGAGUGCCUUACACAACACGGCCGGCUGAGAUAAUCCUGCAGACGAGGAAAACGCCGCUCCUCUGCUUCUCAUUCCUCACAUUUUUCUCUAUACAGCGAGAGGAGGACAAUGAACCCUAAUCCUCUGCUCAGUUGCCUGCAGCAACCGCUCUCAAUUUCCCUCCUCCACAUUUUACCGUGCUGAUACUUGGAAAGGAAAAAAAAAAAA